GAGCUAGUUUGGGAGUUAAAGAGAGGUUUGAAGAUGGCAGAAGGAGCCUCAAGGAGUAAAGGUACCUCUCUGCAGAAGUUGGAAAAGGUGAAGAAACAAUUCCUGAAGCCCCCAGAAGGUUGACAGCCCUACCCACAUGUUGAUUGUAUCCCAGUGAUAUUUUGGACUUCCAACUUCCAAAACGGAAUGUGCAGGCCCACGCAUCAUCUGAAGAAAUCUGCCUGCCCCCUUCUGAAAAGGAAAGCUGCCAGAAAGCACAGAACGACAGGACUCCAGGAGCAAAGUGCUGGCUCUAUCAUCCCUGGUGCUUCAGGAAUCCUGGCCAUCAGCCAUUCAUUCUUCGACUUGGUCAUUAACUCUGCUGGCUGCGUGGGUGGGGAGCUGCAGGUCCUAGCUGGAGAAGGUUGUGUUUACAAAGCAGUUUUAUGCCCGCCUAUCUGUCUGUGAACUUUGGAACACUCCUCCUCUACAGCAAUACAGUAACGAUCGAUAACGGUAAACAACGGUUUCUUACCGUUGUAUGGCAUUUUAUCC
ensembl:lncRNA